AGCGAACGCUGGCGGCAGGCCUAACACAUGCAAGUCGAACGAACCUUUCGGGGUUAGUGGCGGACGGGUGAGUAACACGUGGGAACGUGCCUUUAGGUUCGGAAUAACUCAGGGAAACUUGUGCUAAUACCGAAUGUGCCCUUCGGGGGAAAGAUUUAUCGCCUUUAGAGCGGCCCGCGUCUGAUUAGCUAGUUGGUUGAGGUAAUGGCUCACCAAGGCGACGAUCAGUAGCUGGUCUGAGAGGGUGAUCAGCCACAUUGGGACUGAGACACGGCCCAAACUCCUACGGGAGGCAGCAGUGGGGAAUCUUGCGCAAUGGGCGAAAGCCUGACGCAGCCAUGCCGCGUGAAUGAUGAAGGUCUUAGGAUUGUAAAAUUCUUUCACCGGGGACGAUAAUGACGGUACCCGGAGAAGAAGCCCCGGCUAACUUCGUG
rnacentral:rRNA from 1 species